UCUGAUAGCUCAACUAUUAGGCUUCGGGGGAGUACUGCCAGACUGGAACCGGGAGAGGUAAGAGGUACUACAGGGGUAGGAGUGAAAUCUUGUAAUCCCUGUGGGACCACCUGUGGCGAAGGCGUCUUACCAGAACGGUUCGACGGUGAGGGACGAAAGCUGGGGGCGACGAACCGGAUUAGAUACCCGGGUAGUCCCAGCCGUAAACGAUGCUCGCUAGGUGUCAGGCAUGGCGCGACCGUGUCUGGUGCCGCAGGGAAGCCGUGAAGCGAGCCACCUGGGAAGUACGGCCGCAAGGCUGAAACUUAAAGGAAUUGGCGGGGGAGCAUAACAACGGGUGGAGCCUGCGGUUUAAUUGGACUCAACGCCGGACAACUCACCGGGGGCGACAGCAAUAUGUAGGCCAAGCUGAAGACUUUGCCUGAAUCGCUGAGAGAAGUGGUGCAUGG
rnacentral:rRNA from 1 species